rnacentral:rRNA from 1 species
AUUGAACGCUGGCGGCAUGCCUUACACAUGCAGGUCGAACGGUAACAGGUCUUCGGAUGUUGACGAGUGGCGAACGGGUGAGUAAUACAUCGGAACGUGCCCGAUCGUGGGGGAUAACGAAGCGAAAGCUUUGCUAAUACCGCAUACGAUCUACGGAUGAAAGCAGGGGACCGCAAGGCCUUGCGCGAACGGAGCGGCCGAUGGCAGAUUAGGUAGUUGGUGGGAUAAAAGCUUACCAAGCCGACGAUCUGUAGCUGGUCUGAGAGGACGACCAGCCACACUGGGACUGAGACACGGCCCAGACUCCUACGGGAGGCAGCAGUGGGGAAUUUUGGACAAGGGGCGAAAGCCUGGUCCAGCCAUGCCGCGUGAAGGAUGAAGGCCUUCGGGUUGUAAACUGCUUUUGUACGGAACGAAAAGACUCUGGUUAAUACCUGGGGUCCAUGACGGUACCGUAAGAAUAAGCACCGGCUAACUACGUGCCAGCAGCCGCCGUAACAC